GACGAACCGUACGAGCGUUAUUCGGAAUCACUGGGCUUAAAGGGUGCGUAGGCGGCGCAGUAAGUUGGGUGUGAAAUCCCUCGGCUUAACCGAGGAAUUGCGCCCAAAACUACUGUGCUCGAGGGAGGUAGAGGUGAGCGGAACUUAGGGUGGAGCGGUGAAAUGCGUUGAUAUCCUAAGGAACACCGAUGGCGAAGGCAAUCCCCUGGGCCUGCACUGACGCUCAUGCACGAAAGCGUGGGGAGCAAACAGG
rnacentral:rRNA from 1 species